GUCGAGGGGCAGCAUUUUAGUUUGCUUGCAAACUGAAGAUGGCGACCGGCGCACGGGUGAGUAACACGUAUCCAACCUGCCGAUAACUCCGGAAUAGCCUUUCGAAAGAAAGAUUAAUACCGGAUAGCAUACGAAUAUCGCAUGAUAUUUUUAUUAAAGAAUUUCGGUUAUCGAUGGGGAUGCGUUCCAUUAGUUUGUUGGCGGGGUAACGGCCCACCAAGACUACGAUGGAUAGGGGUUCUGAGAGGAAGGUCCCCCACAUUGGAACUGAGACACGGUCCAAACUCCUACGGGAGGCAGCAGUGAGGAAUAUUGGUCAAUGGGCGAGAGCCUGAACCAGCCAAGUAGCGUGAAGGAUGAAGGCUCUAUGGGUCGUAAACUUCUUUUAUAUGGGAAUAAAGUUUUCCACGUGUGGAAUUUUGUAUGUACCAUAUGAAUAAGGAUCGGCUAACUCCGUGCCAGCAGCCGCGGUAAUACGGAGGAUCCGAGCGUUAUCCGGAUAUAUUGGGUUUAAAGGGAGCGUA
rnacentral:rRNA from 1 species